CAGGUGCUGCAUGGCUGUCGUCAGCUCGUGUUGUGAAAUGUUGGGUUAAGUCCCGCAACGAGCGCAACCCUUAUCCUUUGUUGCCAGCGAUUCGGUCGGGAACUCAAAGGAGACUGCCGGUGAUAAACCGGAGGAAGGUGGGGAUGACGUCAAGUCAUCAUGGCCCUUACGAGUAGGGCUACACACGUGCUACAAUGGCGCAUACAAAGAGAAGCGACCUCGCGAGAGCAAGCGGACCUCACAAAGUGCGUCGUAGUCCGGAUCGGAGUCUGCAACUCGACUCCGUGAAGUCGGAAUCGCUAGUAAUCGUGGAUCAGAAUGCCACG
rnacentral:rRNA from 1 species